rnacentral:lncRNA from 1 species
UCAUGUAUCAAAUGGUCAAUGAUAUUCGUUAAGUGCCCACCAGCCUUCCUAAUGAAGCAGCUUUGCCAAGACUGGGUCAGCAUGGCAUCAGCAGAAACUCUUAAAGGGUGUGGAAGACUUCUGUUGACGGUAGCACUUGGGGGCCAAGUCAUGAGGCAAGAAGCUGUCAUCUCUUAGCAUCCUCGGGAUCACAGAUAAGUAUAUAGUUUAUGCCUAUCGAGGGACCAGCUUGUGGUGAGGCAGCGGCACCACUCGGCAAUGGGCAUAAACGGUAGCAGUGGCAUGAGGGAUCUGAUCUGCCCAGGUGGAAAUUGAGUCCCCAUAAACACCAUCAAGUGUCAUUGGCAGCGUGGGCACUGGAAAGAAAACCUGUAAGUCAGGGUACC